rnacentral:rRNA from 1 species
AUUGAACGCUGGCGGCAGGCCUAACACAUGCAAGUCGAGCGAGCGGCGGACGGGUGAGUAAUGUAUGGGGAACUGCCCGAUAGAGGGGGAUAACUACUGGAAACGGUGGCUAAUACCGCAUACCAUCGGAUGCACCCAAAUGGGAUUAGCUAGUAGGUGGGGUAACGGCUCACCUGGGCGACGAUCCAUAGAUGGUCUGAGAGGAUGACAAGCCACAAUGGGACUGAGACACGGCCCAGACUCCUACGGGAGGCAGCAGUGGGGAAUAUUGCACAAUGGGCGCAAGCCUGAUGCAGCCAUGCCGCGUGUAUGAAGAAGGCCUUAGGGUUGUAAAGUACUUUCAGCGGGGAGGCGUUACCCGCAGAAGAAGCACCGGCUAACUCCGUGCCAGCCGCCGCGGUAAUAC